rnacentral:rRNA from 1 species
AUUGAACGCUGGCGGCAUGCUUUACACAUGCAAGUCGAACGGUAACAGGCCUUCGGGUGCUGACGAGUGGCGAACGGGUGAGUAAUGCAUCGGAACGUGCCCAAUCGUGGGGGAUAACGUAGCGAAAGUUACGCUAAUACCGCAUAAGCCCUGAGGGGGAAAGUGGGGGACCGCAAAGGCCUCACGCGAAUGGAGCGGCCGAUGUCAGAUUAGCUAGUUGGUGGGGUAAAGGCCCACCAAGGCGACGAUCUGUAGCGGGUCUGAGAGGAUGAUCCGCCACACUGGGACUGAGACACGGCCCAGACUCCUACGGGAGGCAGCAGUGGGGAAUUUUGGACAAUGGGCGCAAGCCUGAUCCAGCCAUGCCGCGUGCGGGACGAAGGCC